UCAGACUCAGGGCUCCCUUGUCUUGCAGGUGAACUACUGAAGACGAGUCAGCAAGACCUAAUCCCCAGAAGAAAGAGGUUUAUGUGCAAAGCAUGUUGCCCUAAAUGAGCACUGGACCAACUGGUUUCUGGCACUGGGAAGUCAUCACCUGCUGUAUUUUGUUGAUAAUACUGCCACUGGUGAUGAGAGCAUGCGGAAGAAUGAGGAAGUAUUCCAUCAAGGACUCGGAGUCACAGUGGAUGAUGAAGCAGCAGCUCCCCCUGUGGCUGGAAUCGAGCAUAACCUCAUGAAGCCGGAAGCUGGAAAAUGAGACUCAAGGCAGCUAACAGCAAACAUGACACAGCACAAACCUCUUCUGAAACCCUGCCAUAGAACUGCACUGGAGGACCGAGGGAUUUCUCAAGAGAACAUUCAAAAUCAAAUCUGUGACUAAUAAAAUCCACAAAUAUCAAACUCGCAAAUGUGGAGGGUGUUGGGAAAUCAUCCUGGACUACUCAAGUCUAAACGUAGUUAGAUAGAUGAUAGAGUUAGAUUGAGGGAAUCCUUUCCCUGUUUCCAAAGCAUGCCUAGACAGGCUUUACUGUGUUUCACUCUACCCUGUUUACGUCACAUCCCUUACUUUGAAGUUAGUAGAAAUGUGACUCUCCAGGGACACUAACUUCCCAUUGGUCAGAAUGUCUUUUAUGGCCCCAAUAAACUGGACCAUGAGGUUGGAACCAUUUUGGUUCUCUCGUCUCCCUUUGUUCUUCAAGCUAACAACACAUCCUGCCAUCUCUCCUGGCAAGAUGUAACUAUUUGGAUGUUUGUUAUUUUUCCUUAGAAACCAGUCUAGAGUAGACUAGACAGCUCCCAAGCCUUUCUAUCUACAAUGGAGUUCUUUUUACCU
rnacentral:lncRNA from 11 species